GUUUUCAUGGGGAGAAUAGAGAAUGGGUUUAAGCUGUGUUUACUGGAUUGUCCGAUAGUCUUGAACGCACCAUUGCUGAGGUGCGCUCAGAGCGGUGCUCUGUCGCUUUAAAUUACGUAAUACGACAGGUGAAGUGGCAGCUGACGGAGGACCCGUAUGGACGCUGACUUGGAAGCUGUCGGACUUAACAGAUGACCCACUACCAUGAACUUGUUUUAGAAACCAGCCGUAUCUUAUGUGAUCCAGCUACAACAAAUAAAACUGAACUCAAACACAAAGCUUGGGCUCGUCGCUCUAAAAGCCGUCCGGUGCGAUCAGGCCGCCGGUGCCCCAGCAGACCCGCGUAUAGAUACAAGCAGAAUGGAGCUCACUUUUCUCUAAGGACCCCAGCAGGUCUCCCUCCUUUCCUUCUCCUACUUUAGGGAACAGGAGCAUGAAGGUAGACACAGACAACCGGGCUAACUCACAACAGCUCCUGUGAUCAGCCUGACAACAGCCUUAGGGCCCACACAUGGGCACACACACAUACACACAGUCACAACAGAAAGACAUUUUAAAAAGGGACCAAAGAGGGGCCCAGGGCAGGAGCCCUGAGGCACUCCAACUUGGUGACACAGCAGCAGCAGUUCCCCUCCGUGCUACUGGUCGACGUAAGCACAACCUGGAAGCUGCUCCUCUCCUGUGUGCUGACUGAAACAAUGACUAGCCCCUCGCUCUCUAAUUUACAGGGAGUUGGCUCAUUCCUCUGAGUGGAAUGUACAGUGGGAGCAGCUUGCAUUUCAUGACAGGGUGGAGAGAUCCUUGAUGAGGUGGGGUGGUUUGAGUGGGGCUGGGUUGAGGGUGGGGUGAGUGAGUUUUUUUUAAAUGACAUGUCAUUUUAUGUUUGUUGUUUUAUGAUGUGCAGGGGUCAAGGAACAGAGCACAGUAUCUGAUUUGUACUGUACUUGUUAAACUGUAGGGAGGUACAACCGGCUGUGUGGAACUUUGAGCGACCAAACCUGAUGUACAAAUCUACAGUUCCAUCUAAUACAUAGAUACAUUUACUUUCAGAUAAUGAACUACGUGAACAAAGGACAUAUUAAAAAUGGAAACACUGACAUCCCUAUGAGAGCUGAUAGAAAUACCCAACAAACACCUGUGAUUGGGAGGACAUAAUCUGGAAGCUAUGGAGCCUUCCAUGUAGACAAAAAUGUAAGAAAACAACAUCACAAUCACUCAGAACCAUGUCACUUAACUACUUCAAUAGCCGGCAGAAUGCUGGCAGAAUGAUGCAGAAAGCCUUGUUUCAAUGAGCUGUUGCAAAGUCUGAAAAAAAGAAAAUGAUGUUUUCCUCUUUGAUCUGCUCCUCACUCACUCAUUCAGAGUUAGUAGAUAAAAUAGUCUUCUGAAUCUUCAACUUAAUCAACUGAGGAACUAAGGAUGAGGCUAUUUACUGCAGACAAAAUACAUCAGUGUGUAUGCAAGACAAGGACAGGUGGCACUAAAGAUACUGUACCUGUCUGAUUACUCUGAGUACCAAAUCAGAGCUCAAUGUGCUCAGCUCAGAGUGAUGUGGUUAAACGGGCUUGAGCUUGUAAAACACUUUUAACACGGCACCAGGUCACACCACAUACACACUGAUGACAGAGGUCACUAAUCCAAACAUACACAUUCACACACAGCAGCGGGAGAACUUUAUUGUUCUGUGUCUUGCCCGAGGAUACUUUGGGUGUGACCAGAAAAGCUAGGGAUCGAACCCCCAACCUUGAGAUACGACACACAGCCGCCUGUUUGUUCAUCCCUCUCUCUCUCUCUCUCUCUCUCUCUCUCUCUCUCUCUCUGCGUGUUUAGGUCAGCUAUAGGUCAAAGUCAAAUGGAUGAAGCACAAGUUUAACUUUACAUUUCUUUGUUGGGAUGAAAGUUAUUUAAUACAUUGGUAUGAUUAGGUGCUAUGAGCAGAACAAGAGUAACCUACCACCUUUUGAUUGAAGCUUCCCUAAUGAGGCCACAGCUCAUUUCACAGAAGACAUUAUUAUGAGUUAUGUCUGUCUUAAUGAGAGCUCUGACUUUACUCAUGGUCCAGGUCCUGAGAAUCAAAUAAUGUAGACGAAGGAGAAAAAAACACUUUACCAAUCAAUGACCAGACAAAUAAAUGACCAAGUAUCAAGAAGAAUGUGUCUGAGCCAAUAUGGAAGCAAAUAAAUGAGAAUGUUUUAGUAAACACUAAGUACUAAGUCUUUAUGGAAAAGACACAAAUAUGUUCAUGAAAUGUUCAGUGUUGUAUUAUUUUUAUUAGAUUAGACAAACAUGGAAUUAAAAUUAAAAAAAGGUGUGCUUGCUUUUGAACAUUACAGAAAAAACACCUUGUGUGGUGUAUUUGUCAGUUUUGUCAUUUAUUAUGGGCAGUUAUUUGAUCAUACAGAUAUAUGGAUGCUGAUGAGCAACUUCUGCUUUUUUAUCAUAAUUAUUAAAUAACGGGAUGCAUGAAAUUUGUUUGAAAGAGACGACUCAAAUGACGCAAAAAAAAAAAUAAAUCAGCUGAGAAGGAAAAUAACAAAUCUGGGUUAUUUUGGUUCAAAAGCUGCAGCAUGUGUUACACACUCCUUGUAAAUGUGUGUGUAUGUGUGUACUUACAUUUCUAAAUUUCACCUCUGUCUUGUUGUCUUUGUUGUGAUACAGAGGGCUGACUCCUUUUUGGAUGGAUGGAGAUACAGGGACGAAUAAUGACAGAUUGUAGUGGUAGUUGUUUUAAUCUUUUGAACUCCAUUACAUGAUUCUUUACCUGCUAAAAUGUUUAUCAUGCUGUGACAGUGAGUAUUAUUUAAAAAUAUGUUCUAAUGAAGCUGUAGCAUCAGUUCUGUCAGGAAGACUAUGUGAAGACCUUCAUGAUCGGGUCUAUCACUCAUUCAUCCAUUUUGUGCGCUCACUUUUCCGUUCUCAAGCUGUCAGUUUCUGGGGCUGUCAUUGGAUAAUCAGCUGUCUCUUCGGCAGUACUUAUCUAACCGAUGGCAUGGCGUUCCUCCCUCAUCUUCAACCUAUGUUUUGUGCGCCCCUCCACCUCCCCAUCACCGUCGUCUUUACAGAAUCAUCAUCCAUCAAUUAUUCCCCGAUCCGCUCUCAUCAAUUCAGCAGCUUCACCACCACCAGUGUCUGGACUCCAUGGGGGGAUUUAUUUUGUCGACACUCAGAAUUGUCAUUCUCCAAACACAUCAACUCCCUCUCAUAGAAUAGAAGUAUUUCAAGUCAAUUUAUAAAUAAUUUUCUUAAUUCACUUGCCUCUCCUGAUUGAACUAUGGUUUAGAAAAAUUGGAUGCAAAAUGAAGAGCGCUAGCGUUAGCAUGCUAGCACAACAAUGCAGCUUGAGUUUUUUUCGUUUCAUGCUGGUGCUCAAGGGCGACACAACAAUU